UUGCAAACUUCAUCAUAAGCUCUGCAUGAGACGGCAGAAGGAAGGGGAAGUGGUUUGUUAAAGUAAAUGUGGUUAGACGUAAUGAUACUCAAGACGGGCUUAGACAUAAUGAAACUAAGUGUGUUCAUUCAGUCCACAAGAACAACA